rnacentral:lncRNA from 1 species
AAGAACAAAGGAAGAAAAGAAGAACAAAAACCCUAGGUGGAAAAAUUCAAGGGAAAAGUGUGAAAAUUCAAGGAAACAAGUGAAAAAAAGGUAAGAUUUUUCAAUUCUAGCUUGUGAUCUACCUUUCCCAUACAUUCUUUUGCAUUUUCCAUGGGUGAAUCACAUGGUUUCAUGAUGGGUCUCUUACUAGCCGGACAUGGGGGGAGGAGUUUUGAUGCUUGAUUUGGUUAGAUUUUAAGAUAUUUUAGUGUUUUUAGUUAGUUAAUGAUGUGUAACAUGAAAAACCAACAAGAAAAAUUCAUUUUCUCCCAUCACCCAUCAUUGGCCGAAUUCUCCAUGUGGAAUAUUGAUGAUGAUUUGGAUUUUAUUUCAAGUGAAUUGAUGAGGAAAUGAUGAAUUAUGGUGAGAAAAUCGAGUAGGAAAAAUCAUAGUGUUGAGGCACCCACCAUGGCCGAAAUUUCCAAGAGAAAAUAUGAAGAUAAUUUUGCUAAAUUUUAUGCUAUUUGACUUGUGUUUGAUGGUUUGGAGAAUUGGAAGAAAAAUGGAGUUAAUUGGAGUUGAAUUGGACAUAUUGGCCAAUUAAUCGAGUGAUAGAUCAAAUUAGGCCAAUAUCGUUUUAUUUAGGUACACAAUUGAAUUUGUGUAGAACACCGUGUUUGAACAAUAAUCCGAACAAUUUGCAUUCCGUUUCAUGCAUCCAUAUAGUUUUAUAACGAUUUAGCACCAAUGUGGUAAAUUGCUUGAUUGUGCAUUAUGUCUAGGCGAUGAAUCCUCCGAUAAAGGCAAAGAAAUUGUACCCGAGGAUCGAUAGUCGGAGUACUUUAAAAAUUCGACUUCCGAAAUAGUGAGUAACCUUACUAUCAUCUUAAUUAUCUAAAGUGAUUUUUAUCCGAUUUUGUGAUUUUAUGAAAAAUGAGUUAAAUGGUAAAUCCUUGUGUUUUGUAAUUAAAAUGUGAUUCAAGGAAAUGGUUUUAUAACAUUGUCUUGAAAUUGAAUGGUGGUUUGAAAAUAGAGUAAUUGGAGACUGUUUUCGUGUGUUGUAAAUUCAUGGUUUGAAUCGAAUGACUUAUGACAAUAUUUGCAUGAAUGGCUGAAUUGGUAUUUGUGUUGAAAUAUAUGAACUGUGUAUUUAGCCUUGAAAGGCUGGAUUGUGAAAUAAUUGCCAUGUCAUGUUAUUGCAAAUUUUAUUGUAUGGUGGGUUUAGCUUGCUGUAGUGGGCAGGUUCUGUGGACCAGCCUAUUAGAGGGGCACAGAAUCUAGUUAUAUACGUACCUCGGUCGAAGAGGCAUGUAGGGUAUCUCCUGAGGUAUGGUUAGAGUUCACGUCACGCCGAACCACCUCAUGAUGAUGAACUCUGCUAACGCCAAGGAACGACUGUGCUUUUCAAACUAAAAAUAUGUUUACGUGUAUAUGAAAUUUUUAACAGCCUUGGUGGACUCAGUUAAAUGCCUCGACCAAGGUAUUCCCGAGAAUGAUUUUGACAGGAGCCAAGCUUUUAAGAUACUCAUAAGCCAUGUUGAUUAUUUAAAUGAAAUGAAUAUUUAUGUUAUGAAAUACAUAUUGAGAUGGAAUAUUUUAAUCAUCUUCGUUUACUCGACUNUCGUCUCCAUUUACUCGACUUUAGAUAUUUUGGAUGAUGUUUGUUUACUCACUGGGAUUAUAUAAUCUCACCACCCUCUUUUCCAUCCAUUUCAGGCUCAGAAUAGGCUGUUGAUGGCUGAUUUCAUCGAGGCUACCAUUGGAUUUGCAUCCUCCAAAUUGUUGGUUCACAGUCUUCCUUUCUUUUGAUUAUUCGAGGGCCCACUGGUUAUUGUAAAUUAAAUUAAAUACUUUGUCUUACUGUAUUACAGUAUGUAUGAAUUUAUUUUGCUUUUACGCUACAAAAUUUAUUUACGUAUAACUCUAAAAAUAUUAUUUUA